rnacentral:lncRNA from 1 species
UGUAAAUGAAUAUCAAUACUUCUGCUAAUUCGAGUUAAACAAAUCUUUACAAAAAGUCUGUUUUAACUUUGUUAUUGUAAGAACCCUACAAAACAGACCAUAUCCAGUUUCUGUUUCGUAUUUAAAUGUUCCAAAAUCCACCAAAGACUUAUACAUGUACUUGCCUAAGGUUGAGUUCUAUAGGACGCAGCUCAUAUAUCAAAUAUUCCUCACAG